rnacentral:rRNA from 1 species
GUACUGUGCGAACGUUAUUCGGAAUCACUGGGCUUAAAGGGUGCGUAGGCGGCUGGAUAAGUAGGGGUGUGAAAUCCCUCGGGCUCAACCGAGGAACUGCGCUCUAAACUGUCCGGCUUGAGUGAGAUAGGGGUGUGCGGAACUUCCAGUGGAGCGGUGAAAUGUGUUGAUAUUGGAAGGAACGCCGGUGGCGAAAGCGGCACACUGGGUCUCAACUGACGCUGAGGCACGAAAGCCAGGGUAGCGAACGGGAUUAGAUACCCCGGUAGUCCUGGCCGUAAACGAUGAGCACUAGUUGGGAGGGGUUUCGGCCUCUUCGAACGUAGCGAAUGCAUUAAGUGCUCCGCCUGGGGAGUAUGGUCGCAAAGGCUG